rnacentral:rRNA from 1 species
UACGGAGGGUGCAAGCGUUGCUCGGAAUUACUGGGCGUAAAGAGCGUGUAGGCGGUUUGGUCAGUCAGAUGUGAAAGCCCUGGGCUUAACCCAGGAAGUGCAUUUGAUACUACCAUUCUUGAGUAUGGGAGAGGAGAGUGGAAUUCCCGGUGUAGAGGUGAAAUUCGUAGAUAUCGGGAGGAACACCCGUGGCGAAGGCGGCUCUCUGGACCAAUACUGACGCUGAGACGCGAAAGCGUGGGGAGCAAACAGG